rnacentral:rRNA from 1 species
GCCAGACUCCUACGGGAGGCAGCAGUGGGGGAUAUUGCACAAUGGGGGAAACCCUGAUGCAGCGACGCCGCGUGAGUGAAGAAGUAUUUCGGUAUGUAAAGCUCUCUCAGCAGGGAAGAAAAUGACAGUACCUGACCAAGAAGCCCCGGCUAACUACGUGCCAGCAGCCGCGGUAAUACGUAGGGGGCAAGCGUUAUCCGGAUUUACUGGGUGUAAAGGGAGCGUAGACGGUUAUGUAAGUCUGGAGUGAAAGCCCGGGGCCCAACCCCGGGACUGCUCUUGGAACUGCGUGGCUGGAGUGCAGGAGGGGCAGGCGGAAUUCCUGGUGUAGCGGUGAAAUGCGUAGAUAUCAGGAGGAACACCGGUGGCGAAGGCGGCCUGCUGGACUGCAACUGACGUUGAGGCCCGAAAGCGUGGGGAGCAAACAGGAUUAGAUACCCCGGUAGUA